CGUAGGGACCGAGCGUUGUCCGGAUUCAUUGGGCGUAAAGAGCUCGUAGGCGGCUGCUCAAGUCGAAUGUGAAAACUCGAGGCUCAACCUCGAGCCUGCAUUCGAUACUGGGCGGCUAGAGUCUGGUAGGGGGAUCUGGAAUUCCUGGUGUAGCGGUGGAAUGCGCAGAUAUCAGGAGGAACACCGGUGGCGAAGGCGGGAUCCUGGGCCAGUACUGACGCUGAGGAGCGAAAGCGUGGGGAGCAAACAGGAUUAGAUACCCUGGUAGUCCACGCCGUAAACGAUGGGCGCUAGGUGUGGGAGGUCAUCGACUCCUUCCGUGCCGCAGCUAACGCAUUAAGCGCCCCGCCUGGGGAGCACGGCCGCAAGGCUA
rnacentral:rRNA from 1 species